GACGAACGCUGGCGGCGUGCCUAAUACAUGCAAGUCGAACGAACUCUGGUAUUGAUUGGUGCUUGCAUCAUGAUUUACAUUUGAGUGAGUGGCGAACUGGUGAGUAACACGUGGGAAACCUGCCCAGAAGCGGGGGAUAACACCUGGAAACAGAUGCUAAUACCGCAUAACAACUUGGACCGCAUGGUCCGAGUUUGAAAGAUGGCUUCGGCUAUCACUUUUGGAUGGUCCCGCGGCGUAUUAGCUAGAUGGUGAGGUAACGGCUCACCAUGGCAAUGAUACGUAGCCGACCUGAGAGGGUAAUCGGCCACAUUGGGACUGAGACACGGCCCAAACUCCUACGGGAGGCAGCAGUAGGGAAUCUUCCACAAUGGACGAAAGUCUGAUGGAGCAACGCCGCGUGAGUGAAGAAGGGUUUCGGCUCGUAAAACUCUGUUGUUAAAGAAGAACAUAUCUGAGAGUAACUUGUUCAGGUAUUGACGGUAUUUAACCAGAAAGCCACGGCUAACUACGUGCCAGCAGCCGCGGUAAUACGUAGGUGGCAAGCGUUGUCCGGAUUUAUUGGGCGUAAAGCGAGCGCAGGCGGUUUUUUAAGUCUGAUGUGAAAGCCUUCGGCUCAACCGAAGAAGUGCAUCGGAAACUGGGAAACUUGAGUGCAGAAGAGGACAGUGGAACUCCAUGUGUAGCGGUGAAAUGCGUAGAUAUAUGGAAGAACACCAGUGGCGAAGGCGGCUGUCUGGUCUGUAACUGACGCUGAGGCUCGAAAGUAUGGGUAGCAAACAGGAUUAGAUACCCUGGUAGUCCAUACCGUAAACGAUGAAUGCUAAGUGUUGGAGGGUUUCCGCCCUUCAGUGCUGCAGCUAACGCAUUAAGCAUUCCGCCUGGGGAGUACGGCCGCAAGGCUGAAACUCAAAGGAAUUGACGGGGGCCCGCACAAGCGGUGGAGCAUGUGGUUUAAUUCGAAGCUACGCGAAGAACCUUACCAGGUCUUGACAUACUAUGCAAAUCUAAGAGAUUAGACGUUCCCUUCGGGGACAUGGAUACAGGUGGUGCAUGGUUGUCGUCAGCUCGUGUCGUGAGAUGUUGGGUUAAGUCCCGCAACGAGCGCAACCCUUAUUAUCAGUUGCCAGCAUUAAGUUGGGCACUCUGGUGAGACUGCCGGUGACAAACCGGAGGAAGGUGGGGAUGACGUCAAAUCAUCAUGCCCCUUAUGACCUGGGCUACACACGUGCUACAAUGGAUGGUACAACGAGUUGCGAACUCGCGAGAGUAAGCUAAUCUCUUAAAGCCAUUCUCAGUUCGGAUUGUAGGCUGCAACUCGCCUACAUGAAGUCGGAAUCGCUAGUAAUCGCGGAUCAACAUGCCGCGGUGAAUACGUUCCCGGGCCUUGUACACACCGCCCGUCACACCAUGAGAGUUUGUAACACCCAAAGUCGGUGGGGUAACCUUUUAGGAAACCAGCCGCCUAAGGUGGGACAAGAUGAUUAGGGUG
rnacentral:rRNA from 2 species